rnacentral:rRNA from 1 species
AGUGGAUGGGGAGCAACCUAGUUGUGCGUGUGUAAAGGUAGUGCCAAGAAAAGCGGUGAUCAUGAUGAAAAUCAAUUCCCGGUACCCGAAACCGACACAGGUGGGCAAGUAGAGAAUACUAAGGGGCGCGAGGUAACUCUCUCCAAGGAACUCGGCAAAAUGACCCCGUAACUUAGGGAGAAGGGGUGCCACCGAGAGGUGGUCGCAGUGAAGAGGCCCAGGCGACUGUUUAGCAAAAACAUAGGUCUCUGCAAACUCGAAAGAGGAGGUAUAGGGGCUGACGCCUGCCCAGUGCCGGAAGGUUAAAGAAGUUGGUCAGUCUUAGGAUGAAGCUAGCGACUGAAGCCCCGGUGAACGGCGGCCGUAACUAUAACGGUCCUAAGGUAGCGAAAUUCCUUGUCGGGUAAGUUCCGACCCGCACGAAAGGCGUAACGAUCUGGGCGCUGUCUCGGAGAGAGGCUCGGCGAAAUAGGAUUGUCUGUGAAGAUACGGACUACCUGCAUUUGGACAGAAAGACCCUAUGAAGCUUUACUAUAGCUUGGAAUUGUGUUCGGGCUUCCUGUGCGCAGGAUAGGUGGGAGGCGUAGAAGGUAUUCUUGUGGGGAUACUGGAGCCAACGGUGAGAUACCACUCUCAGGAGGCUAGAAUUCUAACUUAAUUAAGGACAGUUUCAGGUGGGUAGUUUGACUGGGGCGGUCGCCUCCAAAAAGGUAACGGAGGCGUACAAAGGUUCCCUCAGACUGGUUGGAAAUCAGUCGAAGAGUGCAAAGGCAGAAGGGAGCUUGACUGCGAGAAGUACAGUUCGAGCAGGGUGGAAACACGGUCUUAGUGAUCCGACGGUGCUGUGUGGAAGGGCCGUCGUUCAACGGAUAAAAGUUACUCUAGGGAUAACAGGCUGAUCUCCCCCAAGAGUUCACAUCGACGGGGAGGUUUGGCACCUCGAUGUCGGCUCAUCGCAACCUGGGGCGGAAGUACGUCCCAAGGGUUGGGCUGUUCGCCCAUAAAGCGGUACUUGAGCUGGGUUCGGAACGUCGUGAGACAGUUCGGUCCAUAUCCGAUGUAGGCGUGAGAAUAUUGAGAGGAGCCUUCCUUAGUACGAGAGGACCGGGAAGGACGCACCGCUGGUGUACCUGUUAUGAUGCCAAUUGUAAACGCAGGGUAGCCAAGUGCGGAGAGGAUAACCGCUGAAAGCAUCUAAGUGGGAAGCCCACCUCAAGAUGAGUAUUCUGGUGUAAGGUCACGGGAAGACGACCCGUAAAUAGGCACGAGGUGGAAGUGCAGAGAUGUAUGAAGCCGAAGUGUACUAAUAGACCGUCGGCUUGAC